AAGGGUGAAAGGGUGCGGUAAGAGCGCACCGCCGUCCUGGCAACAGGACGGGCAUGGCAAACCCCACCGGGAGCAAGAUCGCAUAGGGACGGCAGAUGAUCGGUCUCCGGAUCGCCGUCCGGGUAGAUUGCUAGAGGCGGCCGGCAACGGUCGUCCCAGAUGAAUGGUCGCCCCCCACGCCUUUCGCGUGGUGGACAGAACCCGGCUUACAGGCCCUCUGACCCU
rnacentral:RNase_P_RNA from 1 species